UACGUAGGCAGCAAGCGUUGUUCGGAGUUACUGGGCGUAAAGGGUGCGUAGGCGGACAGGUAAGUCAGUGGUGAAAUCUCCGAGCUUAACUCGGAACUGCCUUUGAUACUCUCUGUCUGAAUAUGGUGGAGGUAAGCGGAAUAUGUCAUGUAGCGGUGAAAUGCUUAGAGAUGACAUAGAACACCUAUUGCGAAGGCAGCUUACUACGCCUAUAUUGACGCUGAGGCACGAAAGCGUGGGGAUCAAACAGG
rnacentral:rRNA from 1 species